AAUAGAUACCCCGGUAGUCCUGGCCCUAAACGAUGUCCACUAGAUCGCGGCGCGGUUUGACCCGCCCGCGGUCGGAGCAAAAGUGUUAAGUGGACCGCCUGGGAAGUACGGUCGCAAGGCUAAAACUCAAAGGAAUUGACGGGGGCUCACACAAGCGGUGGAGCAUGUGGUUCAAUUCGAAGCAACGCGCAGAACCUUACCUGGGCUCGACAUGCUUGGAUUAUCCCGGUGAAAGCCGGGUAGGCCCCGCAAGGGGUACAACAAGUACAGGUGCUGCAUGGCUGUCGUCAGCUCGUGUCGUGAGAUGUCGGGUUAAGUCCCUUAACGAGCGAAACCUUUACCCUUAGUUACCAGCGGGUUAUGCCGGGGACUCUAAGGGGACCGCCGGUGUCAAACCGGAGGAAGGUGGAGAUGACGUCAAGUCCUCAUGGCCUUUAUGCCCAGGGCCACACACGUGCUACAAUGGCGCGCACAAAGCGACCCUAAACCGCGAGGUCAUGGAAAUCGCAGAAAUCGCGCCCCAGUUCAGAUCGGAGGCUGCAACUCGCCU
rnacentral:rRNA from 1 species